GAUGAAGAACGCAGCGAAAUGCGAUACGUAAUGUGAAUUGCAGAAUUCAGUGAAUCAUCGAAUCUUUGAACGCAUAUUGCGCUCUUUGGUAUUCCGAAGAGCAUGCUUGUUUGAGUAUCAGUAAACACCUCAACCUCUUCUUGAUUUUUCAAAAGGAGGGUGGACUUGAGCUAUCCCAACAACCUUUACCAGUCGGCGGGCGGCUUGAAAUGCAGGUGCAGCUGGACUUUUAUCUGAGCUAAAAGCAUAUCUAUUUAGUCCUCGUCAAACAGGAUUAUUACUUUUGCUGCAGCUAACAUAAAGGAUAAUUGUCCUCUUUGCUGACUGAUGCAGGAUUUUACGACACUUUAUGUGUUGUUCAACUCGAUCUCAAAUCAAGUAAGACUACCCGCUGAACUUAAGCAUAUCAAUAAGCGGAGGA
rnacentral:misc_RNA from 1 species